GUACCCUGCUUUGGCUCCUGUCCCCUUUCAUCCUGGAGACUCCCCGUUGGGUCACCUUUUAUGACCCCCCAGUAGUCUUCUGUUUUGUGUUCCCAAAUCCAGCUGGCAGAAGGGCCAGCUGAGAGAGGAGUUGGGCUGGACCAAGUCCUUCAGAGACCACCUCACGGAGGGAGACCAAAUUAUCAACAAGAAAAAGCCAGACCUGAAGGAGCCUUGAGGAUUGGAAAAGGGAUGAUUCCUGGUGAUCUACAUGAACCAAAGAUCAAGGAUCAGAUGGCAUGAUGGAUGUUUCCACAGAUGUCAGCACGGACAAAUGACAUUGAGGGCCAGAUGCCCCUUAAUCCCAGACUGUAGUGAUAUGAGAGAAGGGCUUAAUUCAGAUCCCUCCCAGCCAAUCACUACUACUUCCAGGACACCACACCCUUUCUCCAAGCCAAAUCAAAUCCAGGACUUGUGAGACAUCAUCGCUUAAUUUUCAAACCAACAGGACAGAAGCUAGAAAAUACACCUUGAUAGAAAAAAAGUGAAAUUCUUGAACUUUAGAGCUACUACCUUAUUUCAGGCAAAAGAAAGAUUUUGAGUGAAGAACAGGUAUAAAUGUGUCUACCAUCAGAAAGAAAAAUAGAACUGAGACAGUUGUAAGUCCAAGUGGAGAUGGUAGAUUUUUAAACACUCCCCAGGCCAAACAAAGAACUUAUUUGUGUAUGAUGAAGUAUGAUUUACCAAGGAAGGGGGCUCACUGUCCUAUCUGAAACAUCCUUUUGAAAGCCACCUGCAGCACUAUUAUGCAAUGUAAAGCACCAGGUCAUUAAGGGCUCUGUCAAUCAAGUGGCUGAUUCCUCCAGAUACGGCUGGUGAAUAAAGAAGGCACUUCUCAGUUUCAGACUGAAAGUCACACUCCACCUGCUCCAAGCCCUGGGGUUUUGAGAAUGAGAAGUUAACCUAAUCUACUUCCAUGCUAAAAGAAACACUUGGUUCUCAAAGCCAGACUUUAGGAAUUCUUUCAUCCAACCACAAGCUGAUUCUUCAGAGUAUCCUAGAUGACUCCAAGGCUGUGGAAAUUAUACCUGAGAAGAAAGAUACAGAGCAUCUAUCAACACUUACUUUUUGUGCUCUAUCAACAAUUACUGCGUACCCCAAAUGAGAAUGUGAAGUUAUGAAACAAGGACACUUUGGAAGUGGGACAGCAUGGGAAGAAAUUAAAUGGGAUUACACAGGAAGUAUCCAGAUUUCAAUUAUUGCCAAUGAGGGGAAUGAAGAAGGUGUCAAUUUUCAUCCUGAGUUCCAAGGAGGAAUUAUUCUUCCUACUGAAAGCAUCAAAACCCCUCAAAAAGAGACACAAGUCUGAAGGGGAAGAAGAGAGUCCUUUUCAGAGCCCUUGGCGCCUUUCAUCCACACCAUGCCUGCUUAUGAACAACACUUGAAACAGACGAGGCACCCAGUAACCACUUAUUGAAUAAAUGAACCCUUUGAGGAUUGAAUGGAAUGAUGUAUGUAGCAUACAUGGCAAAUG